GACGAACGCUGGCGGCGUGCCUAAUACAUGCAAGUCGAACGCUUCUUUCCUCCCGAGUGCUUGCACUCAAUUGGAAAGAGGAAUGGCGGACGGGUGAGUAACACGUGGGUAACCUACCCAUCAGAGGGGGAUAACACUUGGAAACAGGUGCUAAUACCGCAUAACAGUUUAUGCCGCAUGGCAUAAGAGUGAAAGGCGCUUUCGGGUGUCGCUGAUGGAUGGACCCGCGGUGCAUUAGCUAGUUGGUGAGGUAACGGCUCACCAAGGCCACGAUGCAUAGCCGACCUGAGAGGGUGAUCGGCCACACUGGGACUGAGACACGGCCCAGACUCCUACGGGAGGCAGCAGUAGGGAAUCUUCGGCAAUGGACGAAAGUCUGACCGAGCAACGCCGCGUGAGUGAAGAAGGUUUUCGGAUCGUAAAACUCUGUUGUUAGAGAAGAACAAGGACGUUAGUAACUGAACGUCCCCUGACGGUAUCUAACCAGAAAGCCACGGCUAACUACGUG
rnacentral:rRNA from 1 species